rnacentral:lncRNA from 1 species
AACAUGAAGCAUGGCAGUUAUUUGAAAAUCUUAAUGAAAAUUCCCUUCACCAUGCUUCCUGUUCUCGUCAAGCACCCUCGAGUUCUCAAAGAAAAGGGACCAUUUGUGAAAUAAGUCAUUCUAUGGACCUGUCUAGCAAGGUGAUGCAUUGUCCCAUAAGAUUGACCAACUGAUGAUAGGAGGACAUAUCGUUAGCUCUUCCCAAGCACAAGUGUGUGCUAUCUAUUCUAGCCCAUCGCAUCCUAUUCAUGAGUGCCCCUCAGCACCCCAAUAUCCCAAACUCGUGCAAGAACACAUCAAUGCUGCCCAAACAC